rnacentral:lncRNA from 1 species
AUGUCUGCAUCUCUUAACUCCCUGCGUCCUCUUUGGAGACAUCUGUGUCUCCAACCCCCUCCCCCGUGUGUCCCCAAAGCUGUUGUGCAUUCUUCCUGGGGUCAAUUACAUCCUCAAACCUUGUGUGCAUCCCUAAACCCAAUGAGUGUACUUCCUAGGGGCAUUCAGGCCCCCAAAACCAAGGUGCAUUUUCCCCAGAGCCAAGCACAUCCCCAAAUCCCAUACCCAUCCCCAAAUUCCAGACACAUUCACCAAACCCUUUCUUCUCCCUGGGGACAUCUGCAUCUCCGUGUCCCAGAUCCAUUGUUCCUCAUCCCUGGGAUGUGUGCACCUCCAAACCCCAUGUGCAUCCUCCCUGGGGACAUCCAGGUCCCCAAAUCCCAUGUGCAUCCUUCUUGGGGCCAUCCACAUCCCUUAACCCCCCCCUUGGACAUCCCUAAGCACCACUGUGCAUCCUCAAACUGCAUGCAUAUCCUCAGGCCCUGUUGUCCAUCAUCAAACCCAGUGGACAUCCCUAAGACCUGUUGUCCAUCCUCAAACCUCAUGCUCAUCCCCAGGAACUGUUGUCCAUCCUCAAGACCCAUGGACAUCCCCAAGUCCCACUGUCCAACCUCAAACCCCAUGCUCAUCCCCAAGCCCUGUUGUCCAUCCUCAAACUCCAUGGACAUUCCCAAGCCCCCCAUGCACAUCCCAAGCCCCACGUCCAUCACUCUGGGCACUCACCAGGCACAGGGCAGCAGUGCAGAGCUGGAGGCAGCGCUGCGGGACGCCCGCACACAAGAGGCCAGGCUGCGGGAUGCUGCAGCACGGAGCAGUGAGCUGGCUGCCAGCCUGGCACGGGACAAACGGGAGCUGAGCCGGACACUGGUGGGGCUGGAGGAGCAGCACGAAGCUGACAGCGAGGCCAGGAGGGAGUUGGAAGGACUGAAGGCUGAGCUGGGGCGGCUGGGACGCAGCUGCAGGGAUGGAGAGGCUGAGAGGAUGGAGCUGGAGCGGGCACGGAAAGUGGCGGAGAGGAGCUGCGAGGGGCUGCGGGCUGAGCUGCGGGAGCUGCGUGGGGAGCUGCAGAGAAUGCGGGAGCAGCUGGGGCAGGUGUGGGGCUAG